rnacentral:rRNA from 1 species
GACGAACGCUGGCGGCGUGCCUAAUACAUGCAAGUCGAACGCAGUGGGGACGGGUGAGUAACACGUGGGUAACCUCCCAUCAGAGGGGAUAACACUUGGAAACAGGUGCUAAACCGAUACUGAUGGAUGGACCCGCGGUGCAUUGGCUAGUUGGUGAGGUAACGGCUCACCAAGGCCACGAUGCAUAGCCGGCCUGAGAGGGUGAUCGGCCACACUGGGACUGAGACACGGCCCAGACUCCGUAGGGAAGCAGCAGUAGGGAAUCUUCGGAAACGGACGAAAGUCUGACCGAGCAAAGCCGCGUGAGUGAAGAAGGUUUUCGGAUCGUAAAACUCUGUUUUUAGAGAAGCGGUAUCUAGCCAGAAAAGCACGGCUAACUACGUGCCAGCAGGCGCGGUGAUUC